rnacentral:rRNA from 1 species
CCAGAGGAAUUUGUUUUUUCUCGAUUUUCCCCGCUUAUUUUUUCUUCGUUUCUAUCUUUUAUACCGCCGUCUAAAGGUAGAAUUCUCAUCUUCUGCCCAAACAUUUUUUCGUAAGUCAGGUCAAGGUGAAGACUAUAACGGAGGCAAAGCUAAUUACGCAUUAAAUUAAUUAAAGGAUCUCAUUCUAAAGAAGAAUUGAAAGAGGAUUUGGAAGUAGUUUUUUAACAAAAAUUGAUGAUGAAAUUGAAUUUAGGUGUACAUAUCGCCCGUCGCCCUCUUCUAAAGAAGAGGUAAGUCGUAACAUAGUUAGUUUACUGGAAAGUAAACUAAGGGAGGAAAAAAGCUAAUAGUAUCUCACUUACACUGAGAAGAAGAAAACAACCCUCUAUUUGAAUUCUUAUUUAAAUAAAUAUUUUGUUCUUCACGCUUUUUUUCUUGUUCUUAUUUCACCGUGAGGGGAAACUUAUCAAUUGUUAAACAGAAAAGUAAUGUACCUUUGGUAUCAGGGAAAAUCAAUCUCCUAUUUUUAAUAAAUGCUCCCGAAAUUGAAAUGAUCUAUUUCUUCUUAUCAAGCUUGUUUCAUAAAGUUUUCUAAAGAAGGCAUAGAGAUGAAAUUCCAUCCGCAUUCUAUCAUAUCUGGUUCUCUUUGAAGGUAACAGUACCAAAAUUUAAAAAGGGACAAACUUUUUUAAAAGUUAGCCAUUUCAUUUCUAUCAAAACACUAGGAUUAAUAGUAUCCUCCAAGUUUAAAAACUUUCCUGUUUCUUCUAAGGAAUUUUAUUAAAAGAAACCUUCCUAAUAAUUUUCACAAUGAUUUUAUUAGUAAAAUUUGUCUAACUUCCCUUUGUUGACAUACUUUUCUCAAUAAAUUUUACAUUCAGGUUUAUGAACUCGGCCUAUAUAUUUAUUGUCUGUUUAUCAAAAACAUUUCUGAAUGAUUUGAUAUUCAGUAGGGCCUGCUCAAUGAUUUUUUCAAUAGCCGCAAUUUUUGUGCUAAGGUAGCGUAAUCAUUUGCCUUUCAAUUGAAGGCUAGUAUGAAAGGUUUGACAUAUAAAUUUCUUUAUUACCUAAAUUAUUUUAACUUUUCUUUCAAGUAAAAAGACUUGUAUGACAAAGAAGGACGACAAGACCCUAUCGAACUUCACUUUUGUUGAACUGGGGCGGUAAAAAACUAAAUCUUUUUCUUUCGUCUUUCUCUAUCUCCAAUCUGGAAAUCAAUUAAGUUACCGUAGGGAUAACAGCACAAUUUUUUCUUAAAGUUCUUAUAAAAGAAAAAGAUUAUGACCUCGAUGUUGAAUUAUUU